rnacentral:lncRNA from 1 species
ACAUGUUCUGAUUCAAAAACAACACUUUGCAACUCAUUUAGAAAGUCAAGAUUAUACUUUAAGACUUUUGAAGUAUUCAGAAAGUGUCAAACUGAACUCAACACAUAAGCUUGCUAGGUUCCAGAGCAUUCAGAAAAACGUAAGUAAUGAGUUAGCGGACGUCCUGGCUCGGUCAGCACACUAUAAUAGAAAUAUUUAAUAUACUGUGUGUUCAUGUGUGCACUUAUCAAGAUUAAGGGUUUUUUAACCAAACUUUAUUAAAUAUUUGGAAAGAAAUAUGGAAAAUGGACAAGAAGGGCUAUAUAACUCAUACCUACUUUCCAGCAGUAAGAGGCAGAUUAAAGAUUACAAACACUCGAGUUGAAUUAACUAAAUUCUUAACAAACAAUGUUAGAUUAAAUAACUACCUUCACUGUUUUCAGAUUAUUGACAGUGAUAAGUGUAAUUGCAAAUCUGAAGAACCAGGUAAUUUCGAACAUAUUAUUAAUGAUUGUAUCACUUUUUCUCCACGACCCGAUUAAAAAUCACCUUCAAGAAAGUAGCGUAGCAUGCCAUUCCAGAAAGAUUUAAAUUUGUUCUUUUUUCAACUCUGUCAUUUUAUCACAUACAAUAGUUAAUAUAAUAUCACAAAAUAUAUUUCAAAAUUAUUCUUAAAUACAUAGAAGAUAAUUUUUCCGUAUACAAUUCCGUGUGAUAAAAUAUAAACAAACUUCAUUUCAGAUAUGCAAUAUCUCACGAUCGUAAUUAUGGAUAUAGUACAGGCUUAAUUCAAAUCCAACAUAGAAUUCCCUUUCAAAUAAAACAUUCAAUGAAUAGGUAUGAUAUAAAGAUAAUGAUCGAAUACAAAUUUAUACUGAAUAAUAUCCUGUAUCAUAAUCAGUAAUAAUUAUUUUAGCUAAGUAAAUUUGUAAAAAUUCAUUAAUAAUAAUGCAGGUCUGUUGUCACUUACUUUGACUUUCUCGAAAUUCACGAAGUUCC